CUGCAGCAUUGAAAUUUUACUCCCCAUUUUCAUAGCACUAAUGAAGAAGGGACCUGCUACACCGGCGCCCUCUGUGGCUUGGGCUGGAACAGCCAAACACAGAAGGGCAUCCUACCUGAGAAUGACAUUGAGCUCGCCUUCAAUGUCAAGUUUGAUGCUGAAGAUAUCAUCCAGGUAAGUCAUCACCAGGACGACUCCAGUGCAUUAAACUGUUUUACAAGUUAUAUGUCACCACAAGAAAUGAUAUGUUUUUUAAGCUUUACAGCUCUCUGAUGUUUUUCUUAAAGCAAAAAUAAUCCGUGAAGGACAACAAGCACAGAGUAAAAACUAACAUCAACACCAGUUUUUGAUCAAGCUGUACUUUGUGGUACUGGCUCUGGCAUUUUAAUGAUCAGCAUGUUUUACUGCAGGGCUCUCACAUCAUGAAUCACUCUCUUUUUGUAUUACUGAUUGGUUAUUAAUUUCUUUGGCUCUCUUUAGAUCAACGCCUUGCGAGCGGCUAUAAACCGUCUGGUGUGUGAAGGUGUCAACGGCACUCUACAUCUGGGGCCCAACAAGAUCGCCCAGCUGCAGGAGGACUGCCAGGACCGCCUCAUCGGGUAGCAAACACAGAGCCACUGAAAACAGUCAUUAACAGUAUGAAUAAGAAAUGUUCGGUAUGUUUUUAUUAUGCCUUUCAGACUUUUCACCAAGUCUCCACCCAGAGAAGCUGUCACCCCUAUGGAGAAAUACCUGAUGUGGAAUCAGGUAUACACACACAAUAGGGCUCCUUUUCUGUACUGUAGAUUGUCGCUUUUGUUGCUCGUUAUCCCCGCCCAUUGUUUGAUGAGUACAUUUAAACCAAGUUUAAAAGAAACUCUCUCUCUCUCUCUCUCUGUGUGUGUGUGUGUGUGUGUGUGUGUGUGUGUGUGUGUGUGUGUGUGUGUGUUGAACCUGCUGGCGGAUCCUGCUCUGGAGAAGCUCAAUGUUGAGCCUGGAAGCACAGGGACCAGAGAUGUUCUCUUCCAGCUACAUCCUUUUACCCCCCUCAACAGCUAAGAAGCUGUUGAACGAACAAAUUUCGUUUCAUGACGUUAUUGCGUUGUGCAUUGCUUAGCUAAAGCCUUUGUAGUUAAUUGUGAUUUUCCUGCCAAACUGAGAUGUAAGGCCAGUGCCUUAGUGUGAUUUUUUUUUUUACAUACUGUAAUUAAAAAAAAAUCUACUCCAAUAAGCUGCGAUGUCUCACUUGUGGUAUUUUCUUGACAGUGAGAAAAAUGUACUCAAAACUUUUUUAUUUUUAUUUUUUAUCACAAAAUCCU